CGCUGCCAUUCUUACUGCUUUAUUUUUUCAAACAACAUAGAAGUUAAAGCUUUGUUUAAAAGAACAGCUUUUUCUUGUAGUCGGUGAUGUCUCAUCCACUAUAACAUCAAAAUGUUUCAGUUAGUUGUCGAUCACUAUACAGAUGAGAGGGGAAUAAUUGGCUGCCUUCAACGAGGCACAGAAAUGAAAAUAUUCUCUACAAGCAAAAAAAAAGAUCCUUGGCUCCAUAUCACUGUUUGCUCAACGUUUAUGAUAACUGAGAGAUACCUCUUUGACUAUAAAGCAAUGAAAACUUAAAGUUAUUAUCUACUUCCAGAGGACUGGGGAGCUUAUUUACUGAAUCAUACAGCAAUGUAUCGUUCAGAUAAGUUAGCAUUUGGUCUGGAAAAUUGUGAAAUACGAUAUUUCAACACUUCUCCUCUCCUGCCAAGGGAGCUUCGGAAUCACAGAAGACAGUUUAUUUUGAACAUAUGGAAAAGAUGAGGAAUGUCCUCCCAGAGAUAACCAUCUCUAACCUGCAGUUGACAGGAUCUUCAGACCUUCUCCAGCUAUUAGACGUUACUUUUGUACAUUAGGACAGCGGGAGUCACGUGAGGAGCAACCAUACCUUUAACACCCAUUUCUCUGGCUCAUGAGGACACAGUGCAUCACCAACCAGUGAGCAAGACAGAUCUGAGGAGAUUUUCCAAGUACUUGAUGGCAGCCUUAAGUUAAAUUAAUGCAUCUGAAGGAAGCAAAAGUGUCUCAUUACAAAAAGUGCCAUGGAAAAGGUUGGAUAGUUAAACAGAUGAGCUCUGAAUACUUCUUUCCCUUACAAACUCCAAACACUGUAGGAGUAGAAGCAUUUAACAUGAAGAGAUGAGUUUGCAGUGCAGGGAUGGUCACACCCAGGCAAGGGAGAAGAAGGAAGCAAAUCACAGCAAAUCACAGAAUCUAAUGCAGCAGAUAACAUGAAUGUGUGUACUUCUUCCCACCAUUUGCUACCCUCCAGGUGUCACCACCACAGCUUGCACAAUCCAUAAGCCUGAAGGAGUCAACCUGUGCAUUGUAUAGACUGUCAAUAAUGCAAAGCAGUACUCUCAGAGGAUGACAAAGGUGGCACUGAAUAUUUGACUGCUCAGCAACAACACUUCUGGUCAUUUUGAAUCUACAUAGCAGGCUCGUUAGGAUCAUUCUUUCACAAAGGGAAGAAGAGGACUUAGAGGACGGGGUAAGAGAAAUUAGUUGCCGGUUGUCCUUCUGAACACAGACUGCAAAAUAUUAGCCUCUCUUCUCAACAAGAGACAAGAGGAAAUACCAAGGAAAAGCAGUUAAAGGUCACAGAAUGGCACAUUUUUCGUGUAGUUUAGUAGAAGUAUGUGAAAGCAGCUGUAGAGAAUGGAUAAAUUAUGUUUUAACUUCGGACUGAGCUCAUAAUGUUCAACAAAAAUAUCUACCUUCCCUAUUUAUAGCUGGUUCUGUCAUAAUACUGUGUGCUACUGUGAUUUAUUAGCUGACAAUGGCUUUGAUUAAUCAAUGUGAAAGUCAUCCUCUUAAUAAAGAAGUCAUAAUGAGACAUAAGAUGGUCCCUUGAGUUCCUUGUCCCUUUUUCCUCGGGACCCUUCAUCUGUCCUAUUAGAAAUGCCAAA
ensembl:lncRNA